GGGCCAAUGGUUUAGUAGGUGUGGCUGUGUUGCAGGGCUUUAUAGAAGGGCUGCCUGGGAGGGACCAGUGGUUUAGUAGGUGUGGCUGUGUUGCAGGGCUUUAUAGAAGGGCUGCCUGGGAGGGACCAGUGGUUUAGUAGGUGUGGCUGUGUUGCAGGGCUUUAUAGAAGAGGUGUCUGGGAGGGGCCAGUGGUUUAGUAGGUAUGGCUGUGUUGCAGGGCUUUAUAGAAGGGCUGCCUGGGAGGGACCAGUGGUUUAGUAGGUGUGGCUGUGUUGCAGGGCUUUAUAGAAGGGCUGCCUGGGAGGGACCAGUGGUUUAGUAGGUGUGGCUGUGUUGCAGGGCUUUAUAGAAGGGCUGCCUGGGAGGGACCAGUGGUUUAGUAGGUGUGGCUGUGUUGCAGGGCUUUAUAGAAGGGCUGCCUGGGAGGGACCAGUGGUUUAGUAGGUGUGGCUGUGUUGCAGGGCUUUAUAGAAGGGCUGCCUGGGAGGGACCAGUGGUUUAGUAGGUGUGGCUGUGUUGCAGGGCUUUAUAGAAGGGCUGCCUGGGAGGGACCAGUGGUUUAGUAGGUGUGGCUGUGUUGCAGGGUCUUCUAGAGUUGCUGGCUGAGGGCUCCUAUCACCAAGACUACACAUCACUCUAAAACAGAACGUGCCGCCUAGGAUAAUAAAGUUGAAACUUGAACACACACACACACAGUCCUUCCACAUGUCUGUGAGUGUGCCAGCUGUGUGCUAUGGCUGGCUAGCUGACUGUGGAGAGAGUCACUCCUCCCUCUCAGUGCCACAUCAGCACAGAACACAC